AUAGUCCUGGAUGAAAAGAAAGGAGAGAACAUGUAGAGGAGAGGAAGAGAGAAGGAAGGGAGAAAUGACAGGAUCGCUGAUACGCUCAGCAAAGGGCCAACACAGGGAAACGGGGAGUGUGGGAGCUUACACAUCAGUGAUUCCAGGGAAAGAAGACACUGGGCAAGACUAAAGUCACUGGAACCUCCUACAUCCCCAGCCUUCUAACUACUCAAAAGGGAAGUAACUAAGACUACAGAUGUUGAAGUUCCUUAUGGUUGAAAAAUUAAAAGCCUACAGCACCACUGAACUGAAAUGGUUGUUACUUCAGAGAAAUUUUAUUUUAAAUAUACUAGUAUGUGAAUUAAAAUAAGUAUAAUACAAUUUUUUUUUUUUUUGAAACAGGCUUCCUCUGUGUAGCCCUGGCUGUCAUGGAACUAUCUGUAGAGCAGGCUGGCCUUGAACUCAGAGAUUCAUCAAGUGCUGGGAUUAAAGAUGGGGCUGGAGAGACGGCUCAAUGGUUAAGAGCACUGACUGCUCUUCCAGAGGUCCUGAGUUCAAUUCCCAGCAACCACAUGGUGGCUCACAACCAUCUGUAAAGAGAUCCGAUGCCCUCUUCUGGUGUGUCUGAAGACAGACACAGUGUACUUAUAUACAAUAAAUAAAUAAAUCUUAAAAAAAAGAGAGAUUUAAAAAAAAAUUAGUAUAGAUCUUCAUACCAAACAGCUGGAGAACAACCAACAGAUAAACCUUCUAAAAGGCAUGUGAAAGUCCUCUUAAAUAAAAUCAUAUUAAUGAAAUGGUCCUUGCUGUGUGCAUACAUGCACAUACCUUUUUCUUUUCGUGCACGCAGGUGUGACCGUGCAUGUGGAAGCUGCAGGCUGUUGGUGGGGGCCUUCCUUACUGCUUUCUCCACUUUCUAAUUUUAAAAUGCUAUUUAUGUAUUCAUCUGUUUGUUUGUUAUAGCGAGUGUUGCGGGCACACGUGUGCUGAAGUGAGGUGGAAGCCAAAUGACAAGUUUUAGGAUUCGGUCCUCUCCUUCAACCAUGUGGGUUCCUGUGAUGGGACUCAGUCAGCAGGCGUGGCAGCCGGUGACAGGAUCGCCUGUGGAUCCAUUUUGCCAGCCCAUAAUAAAAGACUUCUGACAGCUCAUAACCAAUUCAGUGCAUAAAUGCUGACUGAGUCUCAUUAGAAGACACAGUCUUCUAAAAUUUGUAUUUUUGAGAUAAAUAAGAGAUUUUUUUAAAUGGCCGUAUAAUACAUCCUGAUGUAGAACUAGCAUGAUCUAUUAAUAAAAAAAAAAAAAACCCUUUGAUUUUAGGAGAUAUAUACAUAGAAACAUUUAGGAGCCAACUAUCAUGGUGUCUCCAAUUUUCAAAGUAAUCAGAAAAAGUAAAUAAAGUAACCAGGAGGCUGGUGAGAGGAUUCAGGGGUGAAGGGCUCUUGCUCUCGGCCAGAGGACCUGGGUUCAGUUCCCAGCACCCACAUGAGGUCACAACCACCUCUCACUCCAGACAGAACCAGGGGAGUCAAUGCCUUCUGGACUUCGCAGGCACUGCGGGGCAUGUAAACUCAUAAAGACAUGUCACAUACACACACAUUAAAAAACGAAUAAAUAAAGGCCCUAGCAAGGCCCUGGGUUCGGUCCCCAGCUCCGAAAAAAAAAAAAAAGAAAAAGAAAAAAAAAAAAAACGAAUAAAUAAAUCUUAAAAAAAAAACUUAUUGUAUUACUUUUUCAGCUCUUCUGUAGUCUUGAAAUGUGAGUUCUGUAGUCCUUUGGUAUUUUCCCCUUAAAACCUGUUUACAAUAUGGGAUUCUUCCCCCAAAAAGAGAAGUUUCAUCUAAAACUCUCCAUGUACAAAAAUCUUUUAUGGAGCUGGAGAGAUGGCUCAGUGGUUAAGAGCACCAACUGUUCUUCCAGAGGUCCUGCCUUCAAUUCCCAGCAACCACAUGGUGGCUCACAACCAUCUGUAAUGGGAUCCGAUGUCCUCUUCUGGCACGUAGGUGUUCACACAUAAAAUAAAUAAAUCUUAAAAUGCUUAAAAACAACAACAAACACCUUUUAUCUUGGGGGUUUCUUCAAGAAUAAGCCUAUAAGUUGGUCAAACUACCAUCCACCCCCUCCAUCCCCCAAAGUCGCAAAGGUGUGAGGGUGGCUUUCUCUAUAGGCACUGGCCAAGCUUCAGUGGGAGUAAACGAUCUCUCAUCACCCUUGGGAUGGCUGAAAAAAAAAAUCAACCUCCAACUGAAUUUUGACCAGAAUUUGAUAGUUUAGAUAACACCUUUAAAAAAAAGGCUGAAGCCCUUCCCAAACCUGACUGCUCAUGAGCUUCCAAGGGUAUUAGUAUGUCAUAAAGUGUGUGUGUGUGUGUGUGUGUGUGUGUGUGUAUGCGUGGAUGAGGGCAUGGAGGCCAGAAGGUUGGCACUGGGGAGAGUUACAUGUGACUGUGAGCUGUCUCACACAGGUGCUAGAAAUCCAACUUCAGUUCUCUGUGAUAGUAGCAGUGUAAGUCAUGUCUCUAACCUCUGGGCAGACAUAUAAACCCUGUACUCCUCCUAAUGACCUGCCGCCACGGAUAUGGGUUAGUAAGGGAAAGGUCGCUUCGGUGGGGGACCGAUGAUAGACAGUACAGACGGCACAUACUACAUUUUGGUAGAGAAGCGUUCUGAAGAACAUAGAGCAAAGCAGAAGACAGAUGACGGACUGCCAGGGGGAAAAGAACCAGUGAAGGAUACUAAAGAGAAACCCGAAGCAGCCAAGAGACGGGCGAGGUGCUCUCGUUCCUUGAAGCACCUGUUAGAGGACUUUACAGCACCCUGUAUUUUUCUCUCUUGGCCUGUCACACAGUAUUGAUAAGUACUAGUGUGGUUAUCUGCCCAGUGGUAGCCUCUCCAUAAUUUUGAAUUUCCUAAGUACAGGGACCAUACUGUCAAUUACCAUGCAAGCAUCUGGUACAUUUCACUCCUCCAGAUGGAAACAAACUCAAAAAUGCCUGUCUUUUAAGUCAGGGACCAGCACACCAUGGCCUGCGGGUAGAUCCAGACCAUAGAUGUCUGGAUCUAACUACACGGUCAGCAAAGCUUCAAGUAUUACUAAGGACCAGCAGGAUAUUUAGUGGUUGCAUACUUGUCUAGCAUGCACACCAAGCUCCAUCGGGUUCCAUCCCAACACCAAUUUAAGACUUGGUUACCAUCUGCUUCUCAGACAAAUGCUUUCUAACCCCAGUUCUACCUCAAAAGUUUUGCCUAAGAGUCAGACAUCACCUAGGUACUUUGGGUGCAAACCAUCGAGUCUCAUGCCAGACCUUGUCAGUCAUUUAUUCUGGGAUGGACUCAGCAGACUAUGUUCUCACAAGCCUUCGAGGAUUCUGUGACACAUUACACCCGAGAGUGACUGCUCUGAGUCCGACUUGCUACAGUUUCGUGGAAGAACCAAGCAAGUGGACAGACAAGAUAAGCAGAGGUUGUAAUCAUUAAAAUAGUGCGUGUGUCUAUAGAGUGCUUGUCUAGAAUGCACAAAGCCCAGCACUGCGUAGACUAGGUACAAACCUGUAAUUCUAGCACCGGGGAGGUGGAGGCAGAAGGAACACAAGUUCAAAGUCACCUUCAGCUACACAGAAAGUUCAAAGACCGAAUGGGAUACCUGAGACACUAUCUCAAUAAAUUUCUUUAUUUUGAGACACGGUCUCACUGUGUAGUUCUAGCUGUCCUGGAACUCACUAUAUAGACUAGGCUAGCCUUGAACUUAGAGCUAUCUGCUUCUGCCUCCCAAGUACUGUGAUUAAAGGCAUGUGCACCAUGCCUGGUUUAAAAAAAAUAAGUAUAAGAAAAAAUAAGUGUGAGCUGAUCUAGGGUGGGCUGCAGUAGAAAGAAUGGCACAGGAGCAGAGCUGUGGAGGAGAUAAGUAUGACAGGAAACAAGCUAGUAGUGAGGAAGUGUAACUUAGGAGGAACACAAGGCCAGCGGUAUCUGCCCUGUGAUAUUAAGACAUGAAAUCAGGGGUGGGCAACUAGCCACGCCAUGUAAAGCCUUGUAAACAAUGCCACAAUUCAGGUUUCAAAGUGCGAAGGAAGCCCAUGAGGCCGCUGACAAGAUAUGACUCAGAUUUUAAAAAGAUGGCUCUGGUUACUGCACGGACGGUGAGUGGCACGAGUCAUGCACAGAAGCAAAGGCACCUUCCUUAGUUUCCUGGACAGGCAGCUUUUAACAAAUGACAAGGUGUACUCAGCAAGCAAUCACAGGAAGGGAGAGAUAGCCACCUAUACCCCAAGGGACACCUCGCUUCUUGUCAACAUUUAAAUGUGUCCUCAUCACCAGGGAGACAAUCUCAGAUCGACGUCUGCUCCCCAAGGGUCCAACAAUUUUUCUAAGCAACAGUUUAAUUUUUUUAGAUUUAUUUUACGCAGUUAUGUUUUGCCUGUAGGCACGUAUGGGUAGUGUGUGUCUGCUGGGUCCCUGGAACUGGGGUUACAGGUAGUUGUGAGCAACCGUGUGGGUGUGGGAUUUGAAUCCAGUUACUCUGUAAGAACAAGGGCUCUUAACCACUAAACUAUCUUGCCACCACCCCACCCCCACUUGAAGAUGCAGGAUCUCAUGUAGCCAAGGCUGGCCCAUGAGAUCUCCCUGCCAGUUUCCUCAGUGCUGAGAUGAUAGGAGUAAGUCAUCAUGCUCAGACAUGGGCAUUGUUUCUAAGAUCAAAAUAGCUCACAUCUCCGUCUUGCUUGGCGCUGCUCGGAGAAGCACGCUUUCUCACCAACUUUUCGACUGGUGCGCAUGGCGGUGCACUUGCCUGCCUACAAUCUACCCUCUGUACUGUGACCACAGUGAGCUUUCGGCAAGGUGGAUCCAAAAAAGGAAUCUCCCUGUAGACACUGGGUUGGUAGUUUCUCACACCCUGAUCCUUCGUUCCCUUGUUCUUGGGAAAUUCUCAGUUGUGUGUGGGGCUUGCUCAGGGCUUGCUUCCUCCACAGACUUCUUCCACUGUCUCUCCGGAUACGGCUCUGCCCGCCCGCAAAGCCAUUGCUGCAUGUAUCAUACUGCACUGGAACUGCCUCUGUGUCCUAGGACAGACACUACCGACCUUAGAAACCUGCACUGGUUUCUCCCAGAGCAGAGAAAUACAAAGUGCCUGGAGGGGAAGGGUGUGAGAUGGGGUCCAGAUGCCUCCCUCAAAAAGCACAGUGUAUUAAAAGCUCACGCACACGAGGUGCACGUGUUGAAUUCUCAUUUGCAAUGCACAAUGCUCCAACUUGAAAAACUAUGCUAGCUCUAAAAUUUUUUAAGUAAUUUAUUUUUAUUUGCAUUGGUGUUUGGCCUGCAUGUCUGUCUGUCUGAGGGAGUAGGAACCACUGGAACCUAAAUUACAGGCAGUUGUGAGCUGCCAUGUGGGUGCUGGGAAUUGAACCUAGGUCCUCUGGAAGAACAGUCAGUGCUCUUAACAGUUGAGCCAUCUCUCCAACUCUUAGCUAGGCCCAAAUUGUUAGUGAGACCACUGAUCCAUUAAAAAAACAAAAUCAACAUUCUGUUUUGUCCUGUUUCGUCUUUAGCAGACUAACAAUAAUCUGAGUGGAGAAAAACUGAGGCUAAAGUAGAGAGAAAAAGUAUGUCACCUAAAAUAAUUUCAAAUCUUGACUAUGAUAUAAAAAAAUUGAAAAGUUUAAUUAAAAUAAAAUUAAAAAUAUUACUCUUACUUAUAUAUUAAACAGCAUAAAGUAUAAGUUAAAGCAUUUUCUUGUCAUUUUGUGCCACUAGAGACAAAGCCCAGGCCCUCUGUGGUAGGUUAAGUGCAGUACCCCAUUUCCCUACAUCCUAGGGCCCCGAAUUUCAUAAAAUAGAAAAGGGCAUUAAAUGCAAAAGCUUCAAAGUCCAUACAAAAUACAAAAAGGACACUUGGCACACAACUAUCUUCAGAUGAAAAAGCAGGAGAGACUAAGAAAUUAGUAUUAAGCUGUUUCACUUUCCCUCCUCCAGAGAUAAAUCACACUUAAAAGACCAUUCCAAGUUUUAUUUCAUGAAGACUUUAUUUUUUUUUUAAUAUUACAAACUAACUCUCCCUUUCUGAGAAGGCAGUCUUACACUCAGACAAUCUUCAAGCAAUGUUUUAAGAAAUUGAGAGGAAAACCAGAGUUCAUCAACAAGAAGGUUCACAACUUCUUUUUACAGUAAUAGGAAAAAUGAUACAUUUCACUACCUAAAGUGGGUCACACUGAGUGUCCCUAGAGCAGAGUAGAAUGACAUCAGCUGGACAGGUAUGAAGACGGUAAUGAAUUUGUCUCUAAUGAUACAGAACACAAGCUUGCUUUACACGGAACCCAAGACUCCUUCAUCACACUGCAGUAGGCCACAAGAAGCUUCCGCUCUCAGGCUUCUGUGAAAAUCAUUAAGGCAAGUCAAUAAAGGACCAGGAAGGCACCAGCUACAGCAAUGAUCACAGGACACCCAUGUAAGUGCUAUGAUCUGAUAGCAUUUAAAAAGUCAGGCGUUGCUGUAACAGACUCAGUGUUUUGUUUUUAGUAUCUAACAGCUACAGCACAAAAGGUCAGUUCAAGUCAUCUCAACGUAACAGGCACUUCCUGUUUGUUCUACUGCCUAUGAAAGGAGAAACAAUUUGCUAUACUAGAAGGAUCAGAAGCAAGAGUAAAGGAAAAGCCCUUUGGUUUAAAUUUAUUAAUCAGAUUUUGCAACUGUCUAUAGACUUACAAUCGGGUCGGAAAACCUUAUCCAAUAAAGUAGGACUCUACUGCAGUCCUGGUAAUGCCAGAUCACUCAUAAUUUCCCAAGCAUGAAUACUUUUCUUCAUUUCACAGUGAUAACACCUAGGAAUAUUUUCAUAAUAAAAUAAUGCUUUAAUGAAAACAAGUUCUCUUUGGUCUGGUUUAAUUUAAGCUGAGGGAGAGAUACCACAAUAUCAAAACAAAAAUUAAAAAACAACAAACAAACAAACACAAGCUGAGCCUGCUGACACACACCUCCAACUCCAGCAAUCAUGGAAGCUGACGCAAGAGGAUUACAGGUUUGCGGCCAGUGUGGGCGAAUCAAGGAGACUCUGUCUUAAUAGAGGAAUAGGAGCCCACAAAAGCGUGCUGGUGUUUUACACUUGUGCAGUGAGACAAUCAAACAAUUCUGUACACACAAUUUCUAAGGUAAGUGCUCUCAAAUGCAUGAAAGAACACUGCUGGCAGUGAAUCCUGGGUUCAUGUCUUUCCUGGUUAUCUAGAAAAUUAAGAUUUCUAUAGCUAGCUGUCUGGUCAAUUCAGUAAUACAGGGCACUUAGAUUAGCAGAAGAACAGAGGUAACUCUUUGGGCUAUCCCUGUGGGCAAAACACCGCCCACAUGUGUACAUGAAAACAGCACAGAGCUUUCCACUGUGACGUCAGUGGAAGGGAGUUACCAUGCUCCUAGUGUUUAGUAGGAAAGGGAGGCAUAUCUGUAACAAGUGAGGCUGGCAGGAUCUGAAGUAUCUUCUUUCAAGUUAGAAUCUAAGCAAUUAACACUUUUAAUUUAAGAAAAUGAAUUUUUAACAAAAACCCAGAUAGUAUAAUUAUGUGUGAAGAAGAAAGUCAGUCGUAGAUUUACACAGAUGCACUGAAGUGACUGACUUGAAGUAGCUUAUCAAGAGUCCAUUCAAACCAAAUGGCACAGAGAUUGUCAUCUCAACGAAGCCAGCACACGGCAGGCAUCAUUCGCCCACGCUGACUCUGCCAUAUAAACCGUCACUGAAGACGAGAACUGUCCAGCUAUGAAGGAAACAUAGCUCCCCCAAGGAUUUUAUGGAAAAAAAAAAUCUUGGAAGCAACUUCCUGUGCAUUAAGACAGCAUAUGAGAGAGAGAGAGAGAGAGAGAGAGAGAGAGAGAGAGAGAGAGAGAGAGAGAG